AGUGAACGCUGGCGGUAGGCCUAACGCAUGCAAGUCGAACGGCAGCACAGUAAGAGCUUGCUCUUACGGGUGGCGAGUGGCGGACGGGUGAGGAAUACAUCGGAAUCUACUUUUUCGUGGGGGAUAACGUAGGGAAACUUACGCUAAUACCGCAUACGACCUACGGGUGAAAGCAGGGGAUCUUCGGACCUUGCGCGAUUGAAUGAGCCGAUGUCGGAUUAGCUAGUUGGUGGGGUAAAGGCCCACCAAGGCGACGAUCCGUAGCUGGUCUGAGAGGAUGAUCAGCCACACUGGAACGUAGACACGGUCCAGACUCCUACGGGAGGCAGCAGUGGUGAAUAUUGGACAAUGGGCGCAAGCCUGAUCCAGCCAUACCGCGUGGGUGAAGAAGGCCUUCUGGUUGUAAAGCCCUUUUGUUGUGAAAGAAAAGCAGCAGGUGAAUACCCCGCUGUUCUGACGGUACCCAAAGAAUAAGCACCGGCUAACUUCGUG
rnacentral:rRNA from 1 species